rnacentral:lncRNA from 1 species
UGUCCCUCUAGGUGCUAGUUCUGUGAUAGCAGGCGAGUUCUCGUGAGAUCUCAUCAUUGAAAAGUGUGUGGCACCUCCCCCAACCUUGGUCCUGCUCCUGUAACAUGUAAGACACCUGCUCCUGCUUUGCCUUCUGCCAGGAGUAAAAGCUCCCCUAGGCCUCCUACAAGGCAGAUGCUGCCAUGCUUCUUGCACAACCUGUGGAACCAUAAGCCAAUUAAACCUCUUUUCUUCACCCAGUCUCAGGACAAACUGAGAGUAAAAGAUGCAGGAAUAAAACACAGAAAUCAAAAUAAAGGGUUUACUGCUGAAAAAUCCGCUUGAACAAGCCUGUUAAUGUGAUCUUCCUGAAUGAAGCCAGCUUACCCCUAGGCCUCCACUGUCCCUCAGGAAAGAGAACACGAAAACUGGAACUCUCUGCAGAAAGGAGGAUCCCAAAGAAGGGGCCAAGCUGUACAUUUAUCAAUCAGGAAAGCCACUCCACCCUCCAUGGCAGCCCCUACAAUUUGAAACAAGUAUUCUUCCUAACAUAACACAUUAAUUCAUGAGUUUAUCAGUUCAUUUCAUUUUUACUUUGAGAUUUUUGUGAAUAACCAUAGAAAAAUCUAUUUCACCUGGCAAUAAAUAGGAAAAGGCACAGCAUAAUGUUUAAAUACAGAGAAUAUUGUUACAUGUAAGAUGUUGAUUGAAUGUUCUAAAUACAAUUUGAAAACUGCGUGAGAGGAGGAAAACGUAUAUUCAGAAGGACUUAGGUGAAUCCAGAUGAAUAUUUUCAUGACAGGAUGUUGGCUAUUGAUAUGAAGAAAGUAGAGGAAUAGACUUGCUAAAAGUUAGAGGAGUCUAGUUUAUCUUCCAAGAAGCUUUGCAACCCUGUAAUACUGUAGAAAUCACAAAUUUGGCAAUAAUUUUAAGAUAAUUUAUGUUCAUUUUUUAUGGAAUGCCAUGUUUAUCUUUUUAUAUAUGACAUUUUCUGGUCAGUAGUAAUAUAUAUAUCCUUUAUUAAAAUUGGAAAAUAAAUACAAACAUUUUAUUUAUUUAUUGGUUAAAAAAUUAUUAUGCUCAUUCUUUUUUUUUUUAACCAGUAAGGAUCUGGAUAAAGAAAAACAUUUUAGAAAACCACUUGUAGAGUACCAUGAACCAGUCUCUCUUCUCCAUUUUAAAAAAUUUAUUGACUCACUUUUUUUCCAUAACUUUUUGAGAUAUUAUUUCAACCACUUUGCAUUUAGAGAAAAAGAGUCAGAGAGUGAUUAAGAAAUCUGCCCAAUGCUAUACUGAUAGAAGCUGGGAGAACUGGGAUUUGAGCUUACAUAGGCUAGUUCUAGCAUUUGUGAAGUUCUCGCCUAAUAAAAAUUAUCUGUAAUCAUAACCAGAGCAAGUCAUUUCUAACCUCCUGUCUAUAGACACGCGGAUACAUUUGUAAUGUUUUUGUUUGUUUGUUUUUAGCACGACAGAUCAAUUCCUGCUGGCAUUAUAGUUCUUUAACUAUCAUAGCUUCUCUGAUUUUUCAACACAUCUGUCAUCCGUAUUCUGCAGGCAUAGCCAACUCUGUCAGUGUCUCCUCAGGCAAUCAGAAUCAACAGACAGAAUGUAGGACAGAAAACUGGCUGCAAACAUGUUGGAAGGGCUGGAGGAGCGAAAGAGGGAAGAUCUGUUACCUAGAGAUAGUAACUUCCAGAAGUUACCACUAUACUAGUGCAGGAGAAGCAGAAAGGAAGAUGCUGCUACCCAGAGCCCACAGUCAUUGUGCCCCUGAUGCCGCUGGAACCCCACUGCAGCUGCUUUACAGGAAGCAGGGAAUUAGCGCUCUUGCUGAUGCUACAGGUAUCCAGGAUCCAAAAGUCAUCAGCCGCUGUCCCUGUUGCAGCCUAGGGAAACUGUCCCACUGAGGUUGUUGGGGUACCUGCUACUGCAUCUACUGUCUGAACCAUGUUGCCUGAGCAGAUGUCCAGGGCUCAGGCUUGCCUGCUGCUGUUACUGCUGCCACCAUGUUUAUCAGAGCUACUUCAAGAAGAGAAGAAAUCCUCCUCAUUUCCAGUUUUUUCCAGUGCCUCCCAUUGCUUCCCAGAAUGCCAAAUUCUCUUUGAGAGACAGCUGAAAGGAAGGUUUGGAAAAGACUCUGGUGUAAGCAGAUUCUGCUUCCCUGCAAUAGGGGGAAAGCAUAGGGUGGAACUGGAGCUGAGAGCUAAUCACGAAUGAGCAAAUCAGUCUUCAAGACAUUUACCUUUCCUUGAAACGUUUCCCUUCUUUUACCGUGUUUUCCAUGUCAUUAUUUUUCCACAAUUCUGCAUCAUAUUCUGUUAACUAUUAAUGCCCUGGAUAAGUUUAUUUGCUCUUUCUUAGGGUUAAUUUUUCUCCUUUUCUUCGAAGCUUUAGUUUGCAGGUUCAGCUUGUGUGGGAAUUUUCAUCUCCCUCCUCUUCAAGACUCCUUGGAUAUCAGUUUUUUGGUUGCCUUCACCAACUCUCCCCCCACCAUCUCUAGACCAGGGCAUGGUCUUAGUUGGUGGCUUGGACUCCUGUGGCUUGGAGUCUUUGGGGAUAUUAGAGAUCCAGUCACUGAGCUGGCAAAGGGAACACUGUCCUUGCUUCCAGCUUUAUGAAGAACGCUUUGCUCUGUCACCCCACGUGAGUCCAACUCUUGGCUGCCUACACUGCCUGAGGCUUCAGUUCUGGCAUCGUGCUGCAUGUGAUCUAUUAUCCUGCUUUUGAAUAUGCCUAUGACUUUUCUUUAUAUAUUUUUAAAAAUGUUAUUAUUGGUAUGUUUACAGUGAAGGGAAGAAUGUGAAGCAUGAACUCAAGAGUCACAGUAAUGAUAAAUUUUAAUGAUUGUAAUUGUCCUAUCUGUCAUAAUACAUUUAUUUUGUUGAUUUGUUUGGAUUUUCUAGGUAAAUAAUCAUGUUAUUCAAGGAUAAUGAAUGCAGCCACCAUGUAAUCAUCACUGACUCCAUGGCCAUGAGAAAAGAGACCUAAGAAAUGAUGCCCAUCCAGAAGAGUGAAGACUUCCUGAAAAUGUUCUUUUAACCUAAGAUGUAGGUUAAGAGGAGUGAAAAAAUGUUCUGUUUCUGACUGAUGAUGGAGCAACAAAGGUAUGUUUCUUAUUAAUAACACUGAGCAGUUAGGAAGCAGAUGUGCCUCUCCAGGGAAACUCACAAGUGUCCACUGACCUAGUAUCUGCGGAGAACCAUAGCAGUUGUGGUCUCUCUCCCCAGCUUCAAGCAAGGGCAACUUUUCCCUGUGUCUGGUUCUUUUGCUGUCACCUGAAGCCACAGAAAAUGAUCUGAACCUGCUCAGUCCCUGGACAUAUCUGGGGAAUACAAAGUCUCAGAGUCGCUCUCUAAGAAUUGCCAGCAUGUUCUAGAGAUUCUUUAGAUGCAUAGCUGCAUGGAGCAAAACAGGGUCAGGGGAUGUGUGCCGAGGCCAAGGUCUUCUCUUAUGUUUCAAAAAUAUUAACAUUUCAGGCCUGUCUUCUUUUAAAGGAUAGCUCAUGUAUAUGAUUUUUUAAAAAAAAAUCUACCAAAUCAAAUAAAGAAGUCCUGGGAGUUCACCCGGUGUUUUCUACAGAACCAAGGUAUUCAUAUUGAGAUCCUUCAAUAUAAUCAGCUAUGUGACCUUGGUUAAGUUAAUUAAUGCCUCUGAAACUGAGGUUCCUCAUCUGUGAAAUGGAGAUAUUCAACAAAGCACCCUGUGGGGAUUAGAUGAGAUUGCACAUCUGACUGCCUAGAGUAUAGUAAGGGGUCACUGUUUCCUCUUCACUCCUCAGGAAAAUUUGAUUGAACAAGGAUAGAAACUUUGAUUCUAGGGACAGAAGGUCUUCAGAAGUCUUUGAGGCCAGAGGGCCUGUCAUAGAACUGCAGUGUAGGUUCAUUAAAACGCUGUCAUCCUAAUGUUUAUCCACAGUAUCUAAUAGAUUUAAAAGGAAGACAAUAUGGCACAGACUAUUUCGGAAACCUAUGCCCAUUCUGCCAAGAGGAUAUCGCUAUUGGUGGUCAGACUAUUUCACUUAUAAGGUUUCUUUUUUCCUUAAGUCAUAAAGAUUAACAUUUACUAAAAAUUUGAGGGUCCAUUAAUGGACUCCCACAUGGCUUUCCUCUUUCCUUUGAGCUGGAUUCAUUUUCACUGAGUCCCGAGUCCUGCACAUCUGACAAUUGCUUCAGACCUUGGACAUGCUUGAAUUAUUUUAUGCAAAUCAUUUGAAAAGGCAAAGUACCACUGUUCUUUCUUGAGUUUCUUCGUAAACUGGUUUCUAAUUUAUCUGCUGCUUUUUCUCGAUCCAAUUUGUGCCUAUGUCUUACUAUAGAUUCUUUGGAAAUAAAGAAAUAAAGAAUAUAUCUGUAGCUAUUUUGUUAAACUAAGAAUGUUUUAAAAUAUUUUAUUGUAAAAUAAAAUUCCUUUGUUCUCUCAGAA